AGAGUUUGAUCCUGGCUCAGAUUGAACGCUGGCGGCAGGCCUAACACAUGCAAGUCGAGCGGUAGAGAGAAGCUUGCUUCUCUUGAGAGCGGCGGACGGGUGAGUAAUGCCUAGGAAUCUGCCUGGUAGUGGGGGAUAACGUUCGGAAACGGACGCUAAUACCGCAUACGUCCUACGGGAGAAAGCAGGGGACCUUCGGGCCUUGCGCUAUCAGAUGAGCCUAGGUCGGAUUAGCUAGUUGGUGAGGUAAUGGCUCACCAAGGCGACGAUCCGUAACUGGUCUGAGAGGAUGAUCAGUCACACUGGAACUGAGACACGGUCCAGACUCCUACGGGAGGCAGCAGUGGGGAAUAUUGGACAAUGGGCGAAAGCCUGAUCCAGCCAUGCCGCGUGUGUGAAGAAGGUCUUCGGAUUGUAAAGCACUUUAAGUUGGGAGGAAGGGUUGUAGAUUAAUACUCUGCAAUUUUGACGUUACCGACAGAAUAAGCACCGGCUAACUCUGUGCCAGCAGCCGCGGUAAUAC
rnacentral:rRNA from 6 species